GAGCCCCAUGGGUCCCCCUCCACCCGUUUGUCGCAGACAUGGCUGUGGAUAUAACGCUACUUUUUAAAGCCUGUGUCAAAACCGUUAAAACCAGAAACAAGGCGAUAGGCAUAGGUUUCGAUUCUACCAAAGAUGAGAUUUUCAAGCGGAGCAGACCCAAGUAUGGCUUCUCUCCAAAGGCGAAAGAAGUGAUCAUUAACAUCACCAAGCUGAAAGACUUUUUACUACAACACAGGAAGGAUUAUGUGAGUGCGGGAAGUCUCAUCUCAUCAGAUCUCACCCGCAUGACGGACAGCGAACGUGAUCAGAUUGACCAGGAUGCCCAAAUCUUCAUGAGGACAUGUUCCGAGGCCAUCAAACAACUACGCACUGCAGCUGAGAAGCAGGUCACAUCAGCCCAGACUAAAGAGCACAGGGGCGCGGUCUUGGACCUCAUUGAAAUGUACUUGAAAGGAGUAUGUAAGCUGUACUCAGAGCAGAGGGCCAUUAGAGUCAAGAGGAUGGUGGACAAGAAGAGACUGUCAAGACUGGGAUCUGAUCAGCACAGUCGUGUCGAGAAAAUAGUGAAUGAGGAGCCCAAGGAGGAAAAGACAGUGAAGGAGGAAAGCUCUGACAAGAGUGCAACAGAGGUGUUGGACCAAAGCAUCAACCUGUGGGAGGAAGGCAAAGUGGAGGACGAGCUCUCUCCUGAGGAGAUCCAAAUGUUUGAGCAAGAAAAUCAGAGGCUGAUCAGUGAAAUGAGCAACCUAGUAGAUGAAGUGAGGCAAAUUGAGGGGAAGGUGGUAGAAAUCUCAAGGCUGCAGGAAAUCUUUUCUGAGAAAGUCCUCCAACAAGAGACUGAAAUUGAUAACAUUCAUCAGUUGGUGGUUGGCGCUACAGAGAAUGUGAAAGAAGGCAAUGAGGAUAUACGGGAGGCGAUCAAAAACAAUGCUGGCUUCCGUGUAUGGAUUCUCUUCUUCCUGGUGAUGUGCUCUUUCUCACUGCUCUUCCUGGAUUGGUAUGACAGCUAACAAGCCCACCACCAUGGACCAUGGCAGGUUGUCCAGCACAGUCACAUUGUGAUGAAGAAGUGAUGACAACAAUGGACUGAUUGAUGCCUGCAACAUGGUCCAAAGAAAGCUGGGACAUGGGCAACGAAAGACUGGGAAAAUAGAGAAAUGCUCAAAAAACACCUGUUGGGAACAUUCCACUUGUGAAAAGGUUCAUUGGAAUUAAUUGGUGAGUAUCGUGAUUCGGUAUAAAAGGAGCAUCUCUGAAAGGCUCAGUUGUUCACAAGCAAGGACGGGGCGAAGUUCACCACUUCGUGAACAACUGCAUGAGCACAUAGUCUUAGUUUAGGAACAAUGUUUCUCAACGUUCAAUUGCAAGGAAUGUAGAGAUUUCAUCAUCUACGGUCCAUAAUAUCAAAAGAUUCAGACAAUCUGGAGAAAUCUGCACAUACAGGGCAAGGCCGAGAACCAACAUUGAAUCCCCGUGCUCUUUGAUCCCUCAGGCAGCACUGCAUUGUGUAAAGGAUAUGCCACGUGGGCUCAGAAACACUUCAGAAAACCAUUCUCACUUAACACAGUUUGUUGUUAUAGCUACAAACGCAAGUUAACACGCUACCAUGAAAAGCGGAAGCCAUAUUCUGUCAACACCACCAGCAGUCCAGACAUGUCUCACAUUGAAAAUGCAAACUAUGACAAUGGAGACCCCGGACUGUUGAGCAACUGAAGUUGUACAUCAAGCAAGAAUGACAAAGAUUUCCACCUGCAAAGCUUCAACAAUUGCCGUAAAUGUUAAGUGCCUGUUUAAAUGUAUUUGUAUUAUGCGUUGAAAGGACCCCCUUGAAAAUGACAUGAUGCAUCUCAAGGGACUAUCCUUGAAAUAAAUGAACUCAAAACACUGUGUCA